AAGAAAUCUUAUGCGGCUACAACAAUCCGUUUCAAUGUCAAAAAAGGUUCCCUUAGAUCAUAAAAGGGGAGCUAAAAAUAGGUUUCUUAUCAAUCAGUUAAGAAUGUGCAGCCAAAGCAAAUAUUGUGCCGCGCAUGCGUAAAAAAAGUAAAGCGGCGAAAUACGACAAAACGGAGGAGAAAUAUCGAGAAAUCAGGGUUAUACGCUGAGAAAAGCAUCACAGUUAAACAACAAAUCAUCGCCUAUUUCCUCGAGAACCGUGGGCAAUCAAAAUGAGUCACGGAUAUCAACCCCGAGAGCCAAACGCGCCUAGAUACUGCGAAGUAGUCCAAAUAGGCAUCGAAGAGGAUACUGCUGAAGUAACACUUUUUCUACACUACAGAAAGAGAGUUUCAAGUAAACAACGGAUACGUAUCGGAGGAUAAAGAGGAAAGCAAUUAUGGCCGGCGAUACCGCAAAUUGAAACUCGUUACUUCAAAAGCUAACGUGAUAGAAGUCAGGCGAUAUAGAAACGGAGAGUAUGACGUGAACGCCGACGGGAGAGAUGUUUACAUCAAAAGAAAAAAAGUUGAAGUGUAAAGACUGUUCAAGAGCACUGCCAGAGCCACUCUGUAAAACACUAGGAAACUGUUGAUUGUAAACGAACCAAGAGUCUAAUAAAGUUUGUAGCAUGGCAUAAAACAUAUAUGACUUAAUGAAAUUUUGCUGCAUGAACAUUCAAUGCGUGAAAGAAGAGUGUGCACGCCAGAGCAGAGUCUAUGAACUCUACCCUCGCCCUAUUUUCGAUGGACAUGAAUAUUGUCACUUCAAUCGAAUUUAGUCACUCAUUAGAGGCCAUGAGAGCACACGACGAGUAAAAAAUACUACUGAGUAAGGAUUUGACCACCGCCGUAAGCAACAAAGUUGAUAAAUUUACUUCUUAGAUGAAAUGAAGCUUUUGUCUGUAAUAACAAAUGAGAUAAGUACUAGCGUGUUAAAAACAUGUUUCAGCAACUACGGCAUUCUUACCGAAAUUAGUCCGUAGAAAUCUGAUGUAAAACAUUUCGUAACCAAAUUAACGUUGGUGUUUAGUCAGGGUACGCUUUCGUCACUAUGGGAAAAACUUGAAGUCAAAGUCGAACUCGUGUCUCUGAAACCUAAGAGUCUCAAAUAUCAACUCGCUCAGAUUGAAUCCUACAAAUGCUCAACAUCUUACCCAAAUAAAAAAUGACAUGCAAUACUUAUUCAUUUCAACUCCACAACUGAUUCAUAACGCGUCACAUUUCAAGGCAGGCAAAAGCUUCUGCGACAACAGAUGAGAGCUGGAAGGAUGAAUACCCCAACCAGGAGGUAAAAUCGAAAAACACGAUGGUUAAACGAGAAAUUAACUACCCGCGUCAAUUUAGAUGAACACAAAACCAAAAGGUGCAAAUGCGCAGACAUGAAAGCGAGGUUAAAAUGCUGUCUAAUUGAAAGAGAGAGGUGGAAAUGGCGUAUCUUGUAAAAAUAAAGAGUGACUCGCCUGCGACUCUGCUCAAAAUCGGUGUAAGAAUUCGACUAUGAUCGAGAGAUAAUUAAAACAAGUGUUGUAAAUAGGCACACACUGAUUGAUAAGACAGCCAUAUCCUAUGAAACGAUGAUGAGAAAAAUACCAAAAAAAAAACGCACCAACGGGUAGACACUAACCUUGAGGUUUGCGCGCGUAAAAUGGAGAUUAGAAGGCAACCAAUCAGAAACAGCCAGGGGGAUAAAAUUUGCUUUAAAAUGUGUCUGUCGAAGCACUUUUGCCGCAGUGCUUCGACAAAACGCAAACAACAUCUCAUUCGCUAUAUCUGCAAGUCUAUUCAAACUAAGAAGAGUAAAAUGACCUCGUACCAACCUCCUGAGCCGCCUCCCGUCUUUGAAACCGUUUCCCUCGGGAAAAUAGGUCUGCAUUUGGUUGCCAAUGUGGUAUUAACGUACGACACGAAAAGUAGAAAUUACGACGUCAUCUAUGGCACUCUUAAAAACAAGGAAAGCGAAGGUGGAUCUACUAAAUUGACGAUUCUCUCCGACUCCAAUCACCAAUACACUGUCAUCCGAAAGCGAGGAGGAGUAUACGAAACUAACCAUAGGAAUUGGAUAGAGGUCGAGAAGACAUAAAUAUGAUGAGAAAUCUUUCGGAAGUCACAAGAAAGCUUUAAAGACUAUGGAACAUUUACCUAAAAAUAUUUCAAUAAUCGUGGAAAGCAAUAAAUAAAGUUUUGAGGUGAAGUAUUA